rnacentral:ncRNA from 1 species
GGUCGGGUAGCGAGUAACGAUACAACACCCCGUUGGGGGAAAGUUGCUGGCCGUCUAUCUGCGGUGUUCAAGUACCCGACCGCCCAUCU